UCUUCUCUGCCCACACCAGCCUGCUGUCCUCCGGCCUCCCCAGCGACUGGGAUGGGCGGAAGGCUGCUGCUGGGCCCUCAGGGACCUGGGUAGGCCUGGCCACAGGGAUGGUGACAUCCUGGACCCCCACGAUGCUGCGACCAGAGCGCCUCCUUCAGGCACCUCUCUACUGGUGCGUUCCUGGGUCCCUAUGUGCUCUCUGUUUCACUCUUAGACACCCUGGCUGUGACGCUCAGCUCUGUCACCGGCUUCCACAUACCAAAAACCAACAAACGACUUCACCAUGCAUUCUGAUGGAAGUGGAUAAGACAUUUUUAAAAGACAGCCCUAAACUUCACACUGUGACUGCAACACAGAAUGUGUUCACAUUAGAAGACUCUACCUCCACCAUAAAUGCAUCGCUAGGUGGUUCCCUACUCCCAGACUGUGAAUACCCUGGAGGGCCCAAGUCCAGAGAAGAGGCUCAACACAAGCUUCUUGAAGGUGAGGGUAGGAGGACAAAGCAGGAAACCACCGAAGGCAGGGUGAGCAUGGAAGAUCAGGGCCAAGGUACCUCACAGACUGCAUCACUUAAGGGGUUAUUUUCAAAGAUGGACUGGGGUUUUCUGGCCUUAGCUGAGGAUCACGGAACAGUCCACAGGCAAGGGGCUCUCCUACUCGACCAGGGAGCCACAGAACGAUCUCGUGCGCUAUUUGUGAGAAGAUGGAGUCUAAGGGGAGGGAGGCGAAGUCAGGAUAAGGUUCUGAGGGUGUGAAAAUCCACACCCAGUGG